rnacentral:rRNA from 1 species
GACGAACGCUGGCGGCGUGCUUAACACAUGCAAGUCGAACGGAAAGGCCCUGCUCUUGUGGGGUGCUCGAGUGGCGAACGGGUGAGUAACACGUGAGUAACCUGCCCUUGACUUUGGGAUAACUUCAGGAAGCUGGGGCUAAUACCGGAUAGGAGCUCCUGCUGCAUGGUGGGGGUUGGAAAGUUUCGGCGGUUGGGGAUGGACUCGCGGCUUAUCAGCUUGUUGGUGGGGUAGUGGCUUACCAAGGCUUUGACGGGUAGCCGGCCUGAGAGGGUGACCGGCCACAUUGGGACUGAGAUACGGCCCAGACUCCUACGGGAGGCAGCAGUGGGGAAUAUUGCACAAUGGGCGGAAGCCUGAUGCAGCAACGCCGCGUGCGGGAUGACGGCCUUCGGGUUGUAAACCGCUUUCGCCUGUGACGAAGCGUGAGUGACGGUAAUGGGUAAAGAAGCACCGGCUAACUACGUG